AAAAAAAAAAAAAUCUUGUAAAUUGAAAUACUGAGCUAUAAGCUAAGAAACAGAGCUCGUCAUACUUUACUCAACUAUCACCUGCAAUCAAAUUUGUUUACAAUUUCCAUCAAAGUUAAAGAAAGGGAACCUAUUUUUUUUUUAUCUGAAUUUAAAAGUAGAUUAUCCUCCCAUCACAUAAGAGUUGAUUGUUGAUUUAGUUUCAUCAAAUUACCGGAAAAAGAUUGAUCGUAGAUUUGAAACUCAUGUAUGUAACUGUUCUGAACAACAUUUCUAUUGUUUGUCUAAAGUAAGAACUCCCCUAGCCCUUCGUCUGGACUCUUGGCGAAAAAUGUCCUCUUCUCUUAUCCUACUUCCAAAACUGACUCAGGCAGUUGCCGGGAUUGCUUCGAUGUUUCUCAUUGGCAAUUUAUAUUUCAAUGACAAAGUAAAUUGGAACUCUGUUGAUAAACAAAUGAAGAAAAAGAAAAAUACGUCGAAUGUCAUAUCUUAAUUUAUUUUUCAGUAUGCCUUUUUUCUCUCUAAAUUGAUUCUUGUAUAUCAAUUUUAUUUGUUGAAAUAAUAAAUGUUGUUCAUGAUUUUA